UCUCCUAAUACUAUCGCUCUUGUCUAAAUGGUUCAGAACUUAAAUACAAAAACUUUCACACUAAAGGUAGAGCACCAGCAGAACACAGGAGCCAGACUGGGGGAGGAAAACAGCCGGCAGGCAAUCAGCAAGACUGAAGACAAGAAGCGAUGCGCGUAAUAAAGUGUUGAUGUCACGUGGAUGAUAAGAGUCCAAGUCAGUGAUAAAUGUCAUAAAACUUAAUUAGAGAUGGGAGAAGGAUAGGGAAAAUGAGCAGUUUGUUGGGAAGGGAGGAAAGUAGAUAGACAGGAGUUUAUAGUUGGACAACUGCUGACAUGGACGCUGGAGACUGGUGUUUGCUGCACACGAUCAAGAAAGCAGCGGGUGGCCAUCGUCGACAACGAAAACUCGAUUUUCUGUAUAAUCUAAUAUAUACACGACUUGAAAAAAUGUUAGGGGAGGACCUUUGCUUUUUUUUUAAAGAUAAAAAAAAUGUGAAGAAAGGGUGAAGAGGUUCACUGAUAUCUGUCUUCUUUGGACACCGCACAAUAGAAAGACAACUCUGUUCAUCCGAUGAUGCCAACUCUUUGGAAGCUGUAUAGUGAGAGAACAUUUCACUCGACCAUCACCUGCUUGUGACGGUUCAGCGGUUGCUAACCAGCGCGUGCAAAGUCUCCGUGCAGAACCACACUGGCAACAUCUCAAUGGACGCGGUUGACAUCUUUAUUGAAUUUUCGCAUCAGGCCAAAGAUGACACUCGAAGAACCAUCAUAGACAAGUAGGAGUAAGUAUAUUUUUUUGAUUCUUUCACUUGAAUAAACAGGUGACAGAAGUUGCACAGAAGGCAGUUAACCCAAACCAUGUCACACAUGGCAGAGAUCGUUGGCAGAUACCAGAUGAAAGAUGUCGUAAACAUAUGCUAACAGAUGGCAUUACAUAUUUAACCAAAUGACGGAAGUUGUCAUCAAAUUAUAGACGACAGAUGACAGAUGUCAAGACAGGCAGCAGAGAAAAUUUGAAUGACAGACUGGGAAGGUAACGGCGUCGAUGCUCAGUCCUCAUCCCUGCUAAUCCCUUCUAUUUUCUUUCAAGCUUCACCUUAUCUUUGUCACCAAUAUGGGACAGGCAGUGUCCCUGACACACAAAACCCUCGACAUGAAAGAAGGUACUUUAGAGUGCUCGAGAGAAAGGCCCCACCUCGCACGUGAGCAGGCGUCAAGCGGUUAUCGUUCAAGUGUCAUCGUCGUGGUGUAGCAGCCGAUGGCUCGGCGACAUCGGACCCUCUGCACGCUCCCAAGAAGAUGCUUGGACAGCUUGGAGAGCCCUGAUGGCCGUCCUCCGUGUGCCCGCCAGAGACCAACGGUGACGAGCCGCUAGAGACUUCAAAGAAGACACAAGUUCAACCUAGUUCUCUGGCCAACAUCCAAG